GCUAGGAUUAACGCUGGCGGCGUGCCUAAUACAUGCAAGUCGAAUGGUAGCAAUACCAUGGCGAACGGGUGAGUAACACGUAGGUAACCUGUCUUUAAGCCGAGGAUAACCAUUGGAAACGAUGGAUAAUACUGGAUAGGACAUUUGAAGGCAUCUUUAGAUGUUUAAAGAUUUAUCACUUAGAGAGGGGCCUGCGGCGCAUUAGCUAGUUGGUGAGGUGAAGGCUUACCAAGGCGAUGAUGCGUAGCCGGACUGAGAGGUUGAACGGCCACAAUGGAACUGAGAACGGUCCAUACUCCUACGGGAGGCAGCAGUAGGGAAUUUUCGGCAAUGGGCGGAAGCCUGAACCCGAGCAACGCCGCGUGAACGAAGAAGUAUUUCGGUAUGUAAAGUUCUUUUAUUAGGGACGAAAAGACAGAUUGACGGUACCUAAUGAAUAAGCUCCGGCUAACUACGUGCCAGCAGCUGC
rnacentral:rRNA from 1 species